CAGAGCAAGAUCAUCUGUGGUAGCAGCACUAGACAUCUUCCAGGCAUUCUUUCUCUGUGCCGUCCUCAGGUGGGGACUGGGAAGCUCCUCACCGUCCUGGAUGUCCCGGUUCCUCACAGGAGUUCUGCUUUUGGACGUCCACAGUGUCUGAAAUUAACAUGAAAAACUAAGUCGGCAGCCCAGAUGAUCCUCCGCUGGUUUGGUCGCUGCAGAUCUCAUCAGCAUCUUCUGAUGGCCCAAAGCUUGGAGAGGCUCGCUCCAACAUGGGAUUCAAAAAACACAGAAGAGAUCCACUGCGGUCAGGACAGGCCUUGAUCAUAUGGAGAAUAUUUCUGCAGAGGGUUCUUUUCCCUCCAACUAGGCCUGAAAACUAACUGACCAGAGGAACAUCUAGAACUAGACCAAGUCACAUCGGAAAGCUGUUUCUAACAGUCGGUGCCACUCACAACCAAAACCACUACAUGAGUCCUGUCCUCUGCCUCAAACUUGACUAAAUCAGUUAGCCCCACCUAGCGUCAUCUCUCUACCUUCUCUCCAACAUCCCAGAGACCAGUUCAACUGAUGAUCACCACAAGCUGUGUCACUGUCCAUUGUAUCCAAUUUGUCCCCAGCAGCAUCGUCCUACUCUAGAUCAGGCUUUCAAACUUCACUCCACCAGAGCUGCUAUGCUGCAGUUUUUAUUCACAUCUCUUCUCCAUCAGACCUGAAUCAAAGGGCUGAAUUCCCUCAUCAGUCAUUCAGCUCUGCAGAGGUCUGGUAAAAGGCUGUUUGUUUGAUCCUGGUGUGUUGGAGGAGAGAUGCAUCUGAAAACUGCAGAAACACUGCUGUAAAGGACUGGAGUGAGAAACCUCUGCUCUAGACAGCUUCUAAUCAACCUCCACUACAGCCUUUUCUCUCUGCCUCAACUCAACUCCACGUUGUCCUCAGCAGCGAUGUCCAGCUGUUUCGUUGGAUUGGUUUGCCUCCUUGUGGUUUUCAACCAAGAUUAAUUUUUUGUCUUCUGGUGUUUUUAUUUGUUUUUUGUUAUCUUGCCUCCACUCUGUGUUUCACCUUGUUGAACAUUCUUCUUGUUCUUCUAUCAAUCCUUUGUUUGUGUUGUCUUCUGUUAGCUGGCAGACUGUCCAGCUUUGAUAUUAGAUGUAGAACAUUCUAGAUUAUUUCUGCCUUAACCAGCUAUCAUGUACCAAACUAUGUUGUCAUGUGCUCAGAUGUCUGUGCUAAAGAAAAUUCUUAACAUCUAAACUAUCUAGCAGCGGGGAAAAGAAAAGCCACGGUGCAAGACGCUACCUAAGGCAUCCCUAGACCUGCCAGACACCCUAACAUCUUAAAAAAACCUAAAUCUAGCAGCGGGGUAAAGAAAAGCCACGGUGCAAGACGCUACCUAAGGCAUCCCUAGACCUG